UCUCUCUGAGUAUUUUGAGUAUAAGAUUUUUUCGUUAUCUAGGGACGUUUAAUCGUAGAGGGUU
rnacentral:tRNA from 1 species